rnacentral:rRNA from 1 species
UACAGAGGAGCCAAGCGUUGUCCGGAUUGACUGGGCGUAAAGCGCACGCAGGCGGUCGCGCGCGUGGGGUGUGAAAUCUGGCCGCUUAACGGCCAGGCGCCAUCCCAUACGGCGCGACUGGAGUGAUGCAGAGGUCGAUGGAAUUGCCGGUGUAGUGGUGAAAUGCGUAGAGAUCGGCAGGAACACCCAGGGGGAAACCAGUCGACUGGGCAUCUACUGACGCUGAGGUGCGAGAGCGGUGGG